rnacentral:rRNA from 2 species
GCGGCGGACGGGUGAGUAAUGCCUAGGAAUCUGCCUGAUAGUGGGGGACAACGUUUCGAAAGGAACGCUAAUACCGCAUACGUCCUACGGGAGAAAGCAGGGGACCUUCGGGCCUUGCGCUAUCAGAUGAGCCUAGGUCGGAUUAGCUAGUUGGUGAGGUAACGGCUCACCAAGGCGACGAUCCGUAACUGGUCUGAGAGGAUGAUCAGUCACACUGGAACUGAGACACGGUCCAGACUCCUACGGGAGGCAGCAGUGGGGAAUAUUGGACAAUGGGCGAAAGCCUGAUCCAGCCAUGCCGCGUGUGUGAAGAAGGUCUUCGGAUUGUAAAGCACUUUAAGUUGGGAGGAAGGGCAUUAACCUAAUACGUUAGUGUUUUGACGUUACCGACAGAAUAAGCACCGGCUAACUUCGUGCCAGCAGCCGCGGUAAUACGAAGGGUGCAAGCGUUAAUCGGAAUUACUGGGCGUAAAGCGCGCGUAGGUGGUUUGUUAAGUUGAAUGUGAAAGCCCCGGGCUCAACCUGGGAACUGCAUCCAAAACUGGCAAGCUAGAGUAUGGCAGAGGGUGGUGGAAUUUCCUGUGUAGCGGUGAAAUGCGUAGAUAUAGGAAGGAACACCAGUGGCGAAGGCGACCACCUGGGCUAAUACUGACACUGAGGUGCGAAAGCGUGGGGAGCAAACAGGAUUAGAUACCCUGGUAGUCCACGCCGUAAACGAUGUCGACUAGCCGUUGGGAUCCUUGAGAUCUUAGUGGCGCAGCUAACGCAUUAAGUCGACCGCCUGGGGAGUACGGCCGCAAGGUUAAAACUCAAAUGAAUUGACGGGGG